rnacentral:tRNA from 1 species
CAAGGAAUAGUUUAUAAAAAAUAUUAAUUUUGGAGAUUAAAGAAAAACUUUUUUUCCUUGA